UGGACACACACAGUAAGCAGGCUGUACCAGGAGGAGCCGUGGACACACACAGUAAGCAGGCUGUACCAGGAGGAGCCGUGGACACACACAAUCCCGAGAGAGAGAGAGAGAGAGAGAGAGAGCGAGAGAAGCUCUGCUACAAAGAAGUGUCAACUUAUUCACCUACACCUUCAGUCUCUAUUGUCUUACCAAUAAAGGGGUGCAAUGCACAGUAUCACCAUCAUGAACCAAACCAACAACAAAGGCCAAAAGGAUAGAAAAAGAGAGAAGCCAAAAGAAAGGAGGGGGUCAUGGUGAUACAUGACCUGCCAGAGCAACAGGUCCCUCUCUGGUGAGUUUGAGCUGUGUGUUGUUGUUGUUGGUAUUUUGAUGUGGCAGACCAAUGGGUGGCGUUGUGUUCAGGUCAAUCUUUGCAUGGGGUAAUGCACCUCUCUCUAUCUCUUGUUCUUUCACUCUCUCUCUCUUUCUCUUUCUCUCUCUCACUCUUUCUUUCUCUCUAUCCAACGGUCUUUAUUUCUCCUCUUAACACCUUUAUCAUCACCUGUGAGUCAGGUGUUCAGUCACAGCUCCACACACCAGAAAACCAGAGGGUGAGAGAAAGAGAGAGAGGGAGGAAGGGAAGGAGGGUGGACAAGAACAGUUACGCAUGCUUUGUACAUAUACAUUACACAUGUACAUUACACAUGUAUAUGUAUGUACGUGGUGCACAACGCUACCACAAUCAGUGGGAUGCACUGUAAUUUGCACGAAGGAUGUUCAUCAAAGGAAAUUAAUGGGAGUAUUGCUGGAAAACUCAACAACUGUGCAAGCGUGCUACUACAACCAUUACAUCAUCUCACUGCAGCAGUCACACACACACGCACGCGCACACGCACCACACACCACACACACACACACACACAAACACAUACAGGUAUCAUUUUCAGACGCUCAGUUAUCGAGUCUCUCUGUGUCACAGAUCCAUCCUCUCGAGGCC
rnacentral:lncRNA from 1 species